GAUGAACGCUGGCGGCGUGCCUAAUACAUGCAAGUCGAGCGAACAGACGAGGAGCUUUCUCCUCUGACGUUAGCGGCGGACGGGUGAGUAACACGUGGAUAACCUACCUAUAAGACUGGGAUAACUUCGGGAAACCGGAGCUAAUACCGGAUAAUAUAUUGAACCGCAUGGUUCAAUAGUGAAAGACGGUUUUGCUGUCACUUAUAGCUGGAUCCGCGCCGCAUUAGCUAGUUGGUAAGGUAACGGCUUACCAAGGCAACGAUGCGUAGCCGACCUGAGAGGGUGAUCGGCCACACUGGAACUGAGACACGGUCCAGACUCCUACGGGAGGCAGCAGUAGGGAAUCUUCCGCAAUGGGCGAAAGCCUGACGGAGCAACGCCGCGUGAGUGAUGAAGGUCUUCGGAUCGUAAAACUCUGUUAUUAGGGAAGAACAAAUGUGUAAGUAACUAUGCACGUCUUGACGGUACCUAAUCAGAAAGCCACGGCUAACUACGUG
rnacentral:rRNA from 1 species